AUAUUAUUAAGCGGAGGAAAAGAAACUAACCAGGAUUCCCCCAGUAAGGGCGACUGAAGCGGGAAUAGCCCACCAUGCGAAUCUGCGCUUGCGCCGAAUUGUGGUCUGGAGACUCUCGCGUUACUGGCCGGGCCAAGUCCCUUGGAACAGGGCAGCUGAGAGGGUGAGACUCCCGUUUGCCUGGCCUCGAGAGCGAGUGUCGACGAGUCGAGUUGCUUGGGAUUGCAGCUCUAAGUGGGUGGUAAAUUCCAUCUAAGGCUAAAUAUUGGUGGGAGACCGAUAGCGCACAAGUA
rnacentral:rRNA from 1 species